rnacentral:rRNA from 1 species
CCUACGGGAGGCAGCAGUAAGGAAUAUUGGUCAAUGGGCGCAAGCCUGAACCAGCCAUCCAGCGUGCAGGAAGAAGGCCUACGGGUUGUAAACUGCUUUUGUCAGGGAAGCGGUACCUGAAGAAUAAGCACCGGCUAACUCCGUGCCAGCAGCCGCGGUAAUACGGAGGGUGCGAGCGUUAUCCGGAAUUACUGGGUUUAAAGGGUGCGUAGGCGGCUAUGUAAGUCAGGAGUGAAAGUUUGCGGCUCAACCGUAAAAUUGCUUUUGAUACUGCAUGGCUAGAAUCAGGAUGAGGUUAGCGGAAUGUGGCAUGUAGCGGUGAAAUGCAUAGAUAUGCCAUAGAACACCAAUUGCGAAGGCAGCUGGCUAGAUGAUUGACGCUGAGGCACGAAAGCGUGGGGAGCGAACAGGAUUAGAUACCCUUGUAGUC